UUUUUUAAACAUGGUUUCUUGAAUUUAAUAUGAAAUUAGUCCUGCUCCAUGAUAUAUUUAUUAAAUAGCCGCAGUAUUUUGACUGUGCAAAGGUAGCAUAAUAAAUUGCUUAUUAAUUGUAAGCUAGUAUGAAUGGAUUGAUAAAAUAAAUGCUUUAUUAAUUAAUUUAAAAAGAAUUUAAUUAUUUAGUUAAAAAGCUAAAAUUUAAUUAAAUGGGACGAGAAGACCCUAUAGAAUUUUAUAUUUAUAAUAUAAUUUUAUUUAUUAUUCAAUAUUUUUAUAUUAUAAAUAUUUAAUUGGGAGGAUUUUUAAGAAUUAAAUAACUUUAAUGUAUAAAAUAACAUAAAUUUAUGAGUAUUUAAAAUGAUUAUUUAUUAAGAUGUAAUAGAAAAAUUACCUUAGGGAUAACAGUGUAAUAUCUUUUGAUAGCCCUAAUUGAUAAGGAUGAUUAUGACCUCGUUUGAAC
rnacentral:rRNA from 1 species